rnacentral:rRNA from 1 species
UACGUAGGGUGCGAGCGUUAAUCGGAAUUACUGGGCGUAAAGCGUGCGCAGGCGGUUCGUUAAGUCAGCUGUGAAAGCCCCGGGCUUAACCUGGGAAUGGCAUUUGGGACUGCAAGGCUCGAGUGCGGCAGAGGAGACUGGAAUUCCUGGUGUAGCAGUGAAAUGCGUAGAUAUCAGGAGGAACACCGAUGGCGAAGGCAGGUCUCUGGGCUGACACUGACGCUCAUGCACGAAAGCGUGGGGAGCAAACAGG